UACGUAGGGUGCAAGCGUUGUCCGGAAUUAUUGGGCGUAAAGAGCUCGUAGGCGGUUUGUCGCGUCGGCUGUGAAAACUCGGGGCUCAACCCCGAGCCUGCAGUCGAUACGGGCAGACUAGAGUGCGGUAGGGGAGAUUGGAAUUCCUGGUGUAGCGGUGGAAUGCGCAGAUAUCAGGAGGAACACCGAUGGCGAAGGCAGAUCUCUGGGCCGUAACUGACGCUGAGGAGCGAAAGCAUGGGGAGCGAACAGG
rnacentral:rRNA from 1 species